UUUCGCUGUUUCCACGCGCUGGCCUUAACCUUCGAGUGUGUAAACGGAAGGAUAUUUGACUUUUAAUUUUAACUUCUUGUAGAGAGAGGAGAGGUCGCCAUAUUGUUUAUAAACUCACAUAAGGCAAACAAGAAUCAAACAACAACAUGGGACUACUAAGAUCAAUGGAGGAGUCAGAUACAGCUAGAUCAGGUCAGUUUAUAUUUCUGGUAUCUGCAAUGUUGUUUGCAAGUGCACCUGCACAUGUAUAUGUUAAUACUCUUUUGGCAGUUGAACCUCCCAUAAGCGACCACCCAAAAUGUCAAUCCUAGGUAAUCGCUCACGGGGGGUUGUUGUUUAAGAGAACUAAGAUCAUAUUGGGUCACAAUUUUUCCUCCUUAGCAUAAGGUGACUGCAGAGACUUCCCCAUCUUUUAAGUCUUUUAAAUGUUUAAUUCAUGUGAAAAGUCGAUUUCAAGAAAGAACCCAGUACUUCCCCACUGAGAAAUGUCUGUCUCUUGUACUACCCAGGAAUGCAAUAAUGUUACAAUACCUAAUUUUUCACUUUCUGCUCGAUUAUCUGUUGAGUAGUCACUUACAGGAGGUUAAAAACAAAAGAAAACUUUAAACUUUUAGCUCUAAAAGUGGCCGAGGCCACUUUCAAGAGGUGGUCGCUUACAAGAGGUUCCAAGUAUUAUAGUAGUUUGACUUGGAAACUCUUUGUAUUUUGGAAAACUGGUUGCUUAGAAGAGGGUGUCAAUGGGGUUUAGCCCUAGACAGUAAACAGCUAAGAGUAAGCCAUUUAGUCAGUAAGUUGUUCGAAAUCAUGUUAGCCAGUAAACAGUAAAAAAGGAGAUUAGUCUGGCAGUUAAUUUGUAUGAUUUUAUGAUUUUUAUGAGCUUUGGAUGACCUUUGUUUGCAAAAUAAGUCAUGAUUUAAACAUAAUCAGCUUUUGAAUUAUUGAAAGUGGCGUAAUUUGGAGGCACGGUUGCCUCAUGGUUAGUGUGCUUGACUUUGGAUCGAGUGG